GAGCACGCACUGCCAGUCAGUCAGCGGCUUCCAAACGCGGAGCUGGGUUCCUGUUGGUGUGUGUCUGUGGACGCUUCUCCAGAAAUUAUGAGUAUCUUACUGAAGCUGUGCUUUGUACUGCUGGCGUUGUCAACUGUUGCUAGAGCUGAUGCUGAAGAGUGUCCGGAUCCCUGCAGGUCGUCGCCCUGCGCCAAAGGAGAGCGCUGCGUGCCAGAGCAGGUGGUGUGUUUCAGAGCGCCGUGCUGCGACGUCCCGUCUUGCGUCAAGACUAGCGGUCGCACGCCUGCCUAACCGAAACAUUUUUGUAACUCAUCUGUGUGUUCAAUAAACUGCUAUUAAUGUUGUAUUAA
rnacentral:lncRNA from 1 species